rnacentral:rRNA from 1 species
GAUGAACGCUGGCGGCGUGCCUAAUACAUGCAAGUCGAGCGAACGGACGAGAAGCUUGCUUCUCUGAUGUUAGCGGCGGACGGGUGAGUAACACGUGGAUAACCUACCUAUAAGACUGGGAUAACUUCGGGAAACCGGAGCUAAUACCGGAUAAUAUUUUGAACCGUAUGGUUCAAAAGUGAAAGACGGUCUUGCUGUCACUUAUAGAUGGAUCCGCGCUGCAUUAGCUAGUUGGUAAGGUAACGGCUUACCAAGGCAACGAUGCAUAGCCGACCUGAGAGGGUGAUCGGCCACACUGGAACUGAGACACGGUCCAGACUCCUACGGGAGGCAGCAGUAGGGAAUCUUCCGCAAAGGGCGAAAGCCUGACGGAGCAACGCCGCGUGAGUGAUGAAGGUCUUCGGAUCGUAAAACUCUGUUAUUAGGGAAGAACAUAUGUGUAAGUAACUGUGCACAUCUUGACGGUACCUAAUCAGAAAGCCACGGCUAACUACGUG